AUGUCACCACUCUUCACUCCCAGUGCAAAUUGAGACUGAUUUCAUGCACGGGGGUGGGAGCAGCAGUAGUGGGGUCCUUGUGCUCCCCAGUGAAGCAUCCCACAUGGGAAGCACGUAUGCUGAGCACUGUAUCUGCAAUGCGGUCUCUCCUGCAUGCAGCACUGGGAGCUCCUCCCCAGGGGUGCCAACAGCAUCUCGAUGGGUGAACACGCGCGGAAUUGGCAAUUGGUGCCCUUAAAUUAUCCUCUGACAUCUCUGACAUUGGGAGGUGCUGGGGGGCCCCACAAAUCUCAACUUUUGCUGCUGCCUCUUCUCUCUCUUUUUUUUUCUUUUUAAAUAGGUUUUUCUUAUGGUUUUCUUAAUUUAUUUUUUUUUAGCCACAGCAACGAAGCGAACCGUUCAAAUUGAAACACUGAAAUGAACCGCGCUGAACAAUAAACUAAAACAUGCCUAGAGCAAGUUGAGCAAUAAACAGGUUUUUAAUUUUUUUCCUUCCCCUUCCAUCUCUGUGGUGUCUGCCUCUGAUAGAUGAUGUGACAAAGGAAGAAUCCUCAAUAAAUUCUAAAUUCUGAAUACUAAAUCAGCGAGCACGAGCAGAACGCAAGGAGCUCUCAGUGGCUUUGCCAAUGCAGUGCUGAGGAUGAAGCUGGACCAGAGUGAUGAUCCUUACAUAGGCCGUGGCUUUAUCCAACAAAGGCCCAUAGCCCACGUCUGGAGCAACCCAGCAGCCUGGCUGAAGACAUUUUCCUUCCACUGAACUUGCAUCUCAGCUUGAAACUGACACAGGCAAAUGUGGAGGAGCACAGCCCAGAUCUGCAACUGAAUCCAUCCAGCUGAGCAUGGCUGCCCUGAACAACCUGCGGCACAGAUGAGCGCAAGCUGAAUAAUUCAGGCAUUCAGAUUACAACCUGUAGUCACCUGAGA